UACAGGGGGGGGCGAGCGUUGUUCGGAAUUACUGGGCGUAAAGGGUUUGUAGGUGGCUUGCUCAGUCAGACGUGAAAUCCCUCAGCUUAACUGGGGAACUGCGUCUGAUACUAGCGAGCUUGAGUGCAGGAGAGGAACGCGGAAUUCCAGGUGUAGCGGUGAAAUGACGUAGAUAUCUGGAGGAACACCGGUGGCGAAGGCGGCGUUCUGGACUGGCAACUGACACUGAAAAACGAAAGCCAGGGGAGCAAACGGG
rnacentral:rRNA from 1 species